rnacentral:rRNA from 1 species
AUUGAACGCUGGCGGCAUGCUUUACACAUGCAAGUCGAACGGCAGCGCGGGCUUCGGCCUGGCGGCGAGUGGCGAACGGGUGAGUAAUACAUCGGAACGUGCCCAGUAGUGGGGGAUAGCUCGGCGAAAGCCGGAUUAAUACCGCAUACGACCUGAGGGUGAAAGCGGGGGGUCUUCGGACCUCGCGCUAUUGGAGCGGCCGAUGGCAGAUUAGCUAGUUGGGGGGGUAAAGGCCUACCAAGGCGACGAUCUGUAGCUGGUCUGAGAGGACGACCAGCCACACUGGGACUGAGACACGGCCCAGACUCCUACGGGAGGCAGCAGUGGGGAAUUUUGGACAAUGGGCGAAAGCCUGAUCCAGCAAUGCCGCGUGUGUGAUGAAGGCCUUCGGGUUGUAAAGCACUUUUGGCGGGAACGAAAAGGACUGUGCCAAUACCACGGUUCGAUGACGGUACCCGCAGAAUAAGCACCGGCUAACUACGUG